rnacentral:rRNA from 1 species
ACGAACGCUGGCGGCGUGCCUAAUACAUGCAAGUCGAACGAGAGCGACCGGUGCUUGCACUGGUCAAUCUAGUGGCGAACGGGUGAGUAACACGUGGGUAACCUGCUCAUCAGAGGGGGAUAACAUCCGGAAACGGAUGCUAAAACCGCAUAGGUCUUCGAGCCGCAUGGCUUGAAGAGGAAAAGAGGCGCAAGCUUCUGCUGAUGGAUGGACCCGCGGUGCAUUAGCUAGUUGGUGAGGUAACGGCUCACCAAGGCCGUGAUGCAUAGCCGACCUGAGAGGGUGAUCGGCCACAUUGGGACUGAGACACGGCCCAAACUCCUACGGGAGGCAGCAGUAGGGAAUCUUCCGCAAUGGACGCAAGUCUGACGGAGCAACGCCGCGUGAGUGAAGAAGGUUUUCGGAUCGUAAAACUCUGUUGUUAGAGAAGAACAAGUGCUAGAGUAACUGUUAGCGCCUUGACGGUAUCUAACCAGAAAGCCACGGCUAACUACGUG